rnacentral:tRNA from 1 species
UAGUCUAGCGGUCAGGACGACACCAUUUCACGGUGUCAACAGGGGUUCGAGUCCCGU